UUAGUAUACCUAUUUAAAACUUGGAAAUUUGGCCUUAUAAUAUUCUUUGCCGCUCUAUUGCUCAAUUUUCAAAUGUGGAAGGCCAAAUAGAUUAUUUGGGUUUUUUGUGAAAAUAAUCAAUCUUUUUGUGAUAUUGCAUCUCUAUUCAUUUCUUUUUUUCGUUUUGUAGCUUUGGGUUAAAUGUUCUUUUGUAAACUGAAAUGCCUUUACCGGUAUGAUAAAUACUUGCACUUUGAGUUAUAGCCAGGGAAAUUUUGGUCCAUUUGAAGCUACUUCGAUCCAAUAUCAUAGAAACGAAAAAAAGUGAGCGAAAAUUAGGGGGAAAAAAACAAAAAAUGGAUUAUUUUUCACUAUUCUUAUUUCACGAAAUCAUGAAAAUGAAAAGGAAAAAAAAAAAAAUCAGUGGUUGCUUCUGUCAGUUGAAUGUCAGUGGCAUUACUUUGUGGUAACAUUUCCCUUCCACAGGAAGCUGCAAUCGAAGAAUACUUCAAACCGAUCGAUAAGCACGCGCAGGUAAUAAUGAAUAUGCAACUCGAGAAAGAGGAAAAGCAAAUGAAGGAGAUGGUAAAAGCCAUGCAAGAGCAAAUGAUGGCACAACGAGAGAUGGUGAUCAAGCAAAUGGAAGCUGCUAAUCUUACUUCGAACCACCCCGAUCGAAGUACACCCUCGACACAUUCGAACCAAGAACAAGUCAAAUAAUCCUUCACCAAACUUUGUUGUAUUUAUCCUUUAUGGAGGAAUGUAUGUGUAUCCACUCUUUGCGCGCGAUCUGGUUAGCAAUAAUAAGGUAUAACAAUUUGUAUCAGAAAUCUCGUCCUCUUUUAUCGAGAAAGUGCGAGUUUCUUGACAUUUUUGUCAUACCCUUGCUCUUUGAAGGUGAUUUUUGUUUUGAUGGUAGUAGCAUAUUGUAUUUGAGAGAUCAUAUGUUCCGAGCUUUUUUGAAAUAGCUUUACUUAAACAACAUUUCCGUAGAAAGUCAGCAAGCUUUCUGAAUUUGCUAAUGCAGGGAUUGGGUUUUGCUAUGAUGACUUUAUUUUAUCCCUCUGUUUAAAAUAAUCCGGUUAAAAUGCUUAAAAAUAUAAAGUUGUUGCUCAAUUAUUGAAUACACGUCACAUCGGUAGUUGACCUUUCCUAUUUUGUCAACGCACACAAAAUUGAACGGUGACCGUUAUCUCGUGGGAUGCAUGUGGGAACAAAUAAAACAUGUCAUAUCUAAAGUGCCUCGUGUUACUUAUGGGCCCUUGGAUCUUUUAUGUACGAUUUAGGGUGUGUUUGUUUCAUCUAAUCUCAGAGUGCCAAAUUACGUAUUCUAAUACUUUACAUGCAUGACUUUUGGGUGAUGAUAGAAGAGGCUAGAGAUCAACCCUAAUGUUCUGACCAUAUACAUUGUUUUUUUUUUUUUUGUUUUUUUUUAGAAAUAGAUAGCACGUUACUCGCUUCGUUUAUUUCAUUUAGAAAUAAAUUUAGCUGGAAAUGUGAAUCAACUAGAAUUCGAACUUGGGUCUCGGAUACCAACCACUAAGCCCAACUAGGAUUCGAACUUGGAUCUUUUAUGUACGAUUUAGGGUGUGUUUCUUUCACCUGAUCUCAAAGUGCAAAAUUAUGUAUUCUAAUACUUUACACGCAUGACUUUUGGGUGAUAAUAGAAGAGGCUAGAGAUCAGCCCGUAUGUUCUGACCAUAUACAUUGUGUUCAGUGUGAAGUAUCCACUAUAUUUUCUAUUAUAACAAAAAUUGAAUCAACAUAUAUCAAAAGCUAGUGAUUUUCACGGUUUAUGCGACCUUAGCAAAAUCAGCAGGCCACGGAUAAUCGAAUGUUUGUUUCAAUCUAAAUUGGAGAAAACUUUUGUUGCAUUUUAACAGGGGAAGCAAACAAUUUGUCCAAUCUAAGGCAAAAACGGACUACAAACUGUUCGGUCCAUGGUCCACGUGGUACUCAUGGUGCUCCCAAUAAGCCAUCGACCCAAAACCCACUCAUGUCCCAAAGCUUUUGCAGCCCCAUGAGUCAGUAUCAAUCGCAAUUUUAGUAUCCCCAAUUGUUUCUCUCUCUCUCUCUCCUCUUAACUCCCUCCAAAACGUCUCUCUCUCUCUCUCUCUCUCUCUCUCUCUCUCUCCACCGCCAUUAUUCAAAUCGUAGCCGUUGAAAUCCCUGCCUCUGAAUCUCUCUCUCUCUCUCUCUCUCGCACGCUCGCAUACCCUUUCAAUUUCAAAUCUCCAAUUAUUUUACUGAGGGGGGUGGUGGGGAUUUUAAAAGCUACGGCGGAAACCAAACGCAGGAUAGAGAGAGGCGACGACGAUUUCACAUUUCUCACCUUAAAAAAAAAAAAAAAAAAAAAAAGAGAAAGAAAAAUUCCUCUUCUCCUCUCUUUCGAUUCCUAGGGUUUCCGCUCCGAUUCCCUCCCCGCCACCUUCACCUUCACCCUAACCCUAAGCCCCGAUUUCGGAUACGAGAGGGAUGAGCUCCCAUGCGGUUCCCCACCAGAGAAGGAUCAGCCACUCCGCACGCCGCGCUCCGGCGCCUGCGGCGGCUGCGCGGAAGCUCGAAGCUGGCGCCGAUGGCGGCGGCGCCGGAGGCGGAGGCGUCGCCAACGGGAAGAGCUCCAAGCCCACGUCGCCUUCGAAUCAACCCUCGUAAGAUCCCUAGCUGCAGCUCCUUUGUUCUUGUGGGUUGUUCAUAGUUUUGGGCGGUUGCUGUAGGGGGGAGAGAACGGUUAAGAAGCUGAGGCUUUCGAAGGCGCUUACCAUCCCCGAGGGCACGACGGUCUCCGAUGCGUGCCGGAGGAUGGCGGCGAGGAGGGUGGAUUCGGUGCUGCUCACUGAUGCUAAUGGGCUCCUCUCCGGGAUCGUCACUGAUAAGGUUUUGAUUCACCGAAUCCAUUUUUGGCGUGUUUGGUGUGAUGAUAAUUGUGAAAUAGUUACUUAAUUCGAGCUAUUUAAUAAAAUUGAUAGGAUAUAUCCACAAGAGUGAUAGCGGAGGGAUUGAGACCCGAGCAGACGAUCGUGUCCAAGAUCAUGACGAGGAAUCCAGUGUUUGUCAUGUCCGAUGCGCUCGCGAUGGAGGCGCUGCAGAAGAUGCUUCAAGGUUUGCCUAGUUAGAAGAUUGGUCCUUUUGAUAUAUUUUUGUUAGUUGCUUCUUUGUUCUUCCGCUGCUGUGGUUUUGAUGUUAUUUGGAAGCAACACUUGAUUAUGUUGGGGUUCGUGAAGAGGAACAGUAAAGGUACUACUUUUGUUUAAUGGAGAGUUAUUGUUGAGGAGGAGCUCUAUUGGUAAUUAUUUCAUGCUGGAGAACUCUGUUUAUGAUUAUGGUUAGCUUUCUCUUUGCCGAUAAAUUUUUGGGUUAGGUGGAGAAAUUAAAGUAGGAAAAGAACAAGUUUUAGAUGUAAAAGCCCGUCUGAAUUGGGAAAGGAACAUUUGCAGUUUCUUCGAGUGCUAGCCUGUCACAGUGUCACCAGCAAAACUGUCCUUCUGCUUAACUAAGAAGUGAAGAUUUUUAUUUGAUUCUUCUUUUUGUGGCUACCCAUAACCAUUUUCUUAUGGCUGGAGAGUAUAUAGAAAAGUGCUUUAUGAUAGGUAGUGAUAUUUGUUUGUAUCACUGCAAGUUAUUCAUGUUGCUAACAAAACGUAGUUUUCCUUGGAUGUCAAAGGCAAAUUUAGGCACCUUCCUGUGGUAGAAAAUGGUGAAGUUGUUGCCAUGCUCGACAUCACAAAGUGCCUUUAUGAUGCAAUAUCAAGAAUGGAAAAGGCUGCAGAACAAGGCAGUGCGCUAGCAGCUGCUGUCGAAGAGGUUGAACGCCAGUACGGCAGCAAUUUUUCAGGUGCGUUGUAAUUUCACUUAUGUUGCUUCACCCUCAUUUUUUAUAUUAAUUAUGUAAAUUUGUCUGUUUAACUGCUUUGCCUCCUGUUUAAUGCAUUGAUUCUUUAUUUUCCUGGCUGCAGCUCCUUAUGCUUUCAUAGAAACCCUGCGAGAAAGAAUGUUUAAACCUUCUUUGUCAACCGUGAUCACUGAGAACUCAAAGUACGUUUGGAACUUUAUACAAACACUUUCGUCCUUAAGGAUAUCUCCAACAGUAAUUUAUCUUGAAGAAAUCGGAAAUAGUUGAAGUUUGAUAAGUAUUUCUAUAUGCAGGGUUGCAAUAGUAUUCCCUUCAGAUCCUGUCUAUGUUGCCACAAAAAAGAUGCGCGAUAAUCGUAUUAAUUCUGUGAUCGUCAUGACUGGAAGCGCAGUUCAAGGAAUUCUAACGUAUGUUUUUUGCUUUGUUGAGUAAUGCUUUGACAGUAGUUUGCUGAAGAUUUACUGGCUUUGUUGUUUCCACUUAUUUUAUAUUUUGAAGUACACAUUUAAGGUGUUCAUCAAUACAUGCUUUGUUGCAAUUUUCUGCAGUUCUAAGGAUGUGCUUAUGCGAGUAGUAGCACAGCAUCUUUCGCCUGAGUUGACUUUGGUAGAAAAGGUUUGUUAUGUCAAGUUCCUUUUGCAAAACUCAACUAGAUUUUCUAAAUACGUAUUCUCUCUUUUUUGUCGCACUUGCUACUAUAUGAUUGUGAGUGUCUAAUUAAAGCUCUCUUGGUGCUUUUUUUAUCCUGCUUUUGCAAGAAUGGUAUACUUAAUUAUAGUCUUAGCUGUGAUCUUUGUAAUUGCAUCUCUUAGUUGGAUUUUUGGAUUCUGUGACUUUUUAUCCGGGAACUGGAUAUAUUAAACUUUUUCAGAAUAUAUCAUACCAAUGCUUGUCAUUGGUUAUUCAAAUUUUCCCACUUCUUUGCUAACUUGUUUGGCUAUUCGCAAAUUUACCUAGUGGUGUGGUUGCUCCAUUACAAUUCGAACCUUAUUAAUUGUUUGAAUUCAUCUCUGUUCUUAUAAUAUUUUAGUUGCUUCACUACCUUGGAUUUAUUAUUAUUAUUAUUAUUUUCCUGUUGCUAAGUGUUUAGCACCAAUUUUCUGUUAAGCUCUGAAGUAUCUUACUUUAAUACUUUCUAUUAUUACUACUGAAGGUAAUGACUCCGAACCCUGAAUGUGCUACUUUGGACACAACAAUUCUUGAGGCGCUCCAUAUAAUGCAUGAUGGAAAAUUCUUGCAUAUUCCUGUGCUCGAUAGAGGUAACAAUUUAUUAUAGAAGACAUCUUGUUUUUUUGUUAAUUUAUAUCUGUAACUGGCAAACAUCUUUUUGCUUCUACUUAUGUAAUGUAACUACUUGAACAGAUGGCAAUAUCACUGCUUGUUUGGAUGUUCUGCAAAUCACUCAUGCAGCCCUUUCGAUGGUAAGGAUAAUGACUAUUAAUAUGCCUUUUGCUUGAACCAUAAAUUGCCUCUCUUUUGAUUAGCUACAUCUAUGUGUACUGAAGGAUUUAUAAACUGCAGUUUUACGAGUUUUUUGCACAUACACCUGGCCAUUAUGUAAAUUUGCAUAAAUAGUCCUGCAAAGUUGGUGCCUGCAUGCAUUCCUAAACACUAUAUAUUUGUAAGGGAUAAGGUGAUUGCAUGCAUUCCCAAACGUAGUAUUUACUUGUGAGGUAUAUUAGAGUAACAAUUUUUGCUUUGAUUCCUCCAGCAACGUCAUAUGUGCAAGUAACAUAUGCAAAAAAAGGAAAAAGGAAAAAGGAAAAAUAAGAAAAAUAGGAGACAAGUUCUAUAGUCUAUAACACUAGCCAUAUUGCUUCUGCUGCUGUUUAUCUACUUCUUAUAUAUAUAUAUAUAUACACACACACGCACAGGUUGAGGGAGGAUCAGAAGCUGUAAAUGGCAUGGCAAACACAAUGAUGCAGAAGUUUUGGGAUUCUGCCCUUAAUCUGGAGCCACCAGAUGAUGAGCUUGAUAGCCGCAGGUUUUUCGCAUUUCAAACCCCUUCUCCCAAAAGUUUUUUCUUUAAAGUAAUUUUCUUUUUCUCGUUUGUCUGCAGUGAUGUUUCAAUGUUGAUGGCAUCAGAAUGUGCAGAAGGGAAGUAUACAAAUCCUCCUUCUGUUGGUCACUCAUUUGCCUUCAAGCUUGAAGACCGAAAAGGGCGUGUGCAUAGAUUCAACAGUGGUGAGUGUGCAAUCGUUUUUCUGUCCUUCAAUGCUGGCCUGCUUGGCCAUGCUUCUGAUGCGCGCUGAAUCACUUUGUGCAAAGUGGAAGUGAUUUAGCAUCUUGGUUCUUGUGAAUGCAGAAAUAUGCCCAUCAGAAUCACAAGCAAUAAUCUGAGGAUUCUUGUGAAAGCGAUCCUGCAAUGAGGUCUUCCAGCAGGUGAUUCCACGUGCAUCUGGGCCAAUACCUGUUAAUUGUCAUAUUUAAGGUUCCGUAUAUGACACUUCAUGUUUUUUUACUUCUCAUUGCAGGUACAGAGAACUUAACUGAGCUUGUUACUGCUGUGAAGCAGAGAAUAGGGAUCAACGAUGAGGAGAAAAUUCAACUUCUGGUGGGUUUUUUAAUUGUUAUGUCAAAAAGUAUAAUCAUGUCAAUGGUUUGGUUUCAGAGUUCUACGAAUUUGGUUUUUGAGCCAAAAAAAUUUGCUCCCUUGGGCUCCCCACCGUUCUUAGAAACUAUUGAUCCUUUCUAAUGCAGUAUGAAGAUGAGGAAGGUGACAAAGUUCUCCUAACUACUGAUGGCGACCUUACCGCUGCAGUGUAUGUCGCGAGAUCAGCUGGAUGGAAGGUUAGUGUUUCUCUUGAGGAUUUAAUUCAUGUAGUUAUAAAGAUUGAAACCAAUAUACAAUUUGCCGCCUUUUUCUUGGGGGGGAUGCAUUGGAUAUCAUUAUGCAAGGAAAAGUUGAUUGAGAUACCCAUCUGUUACUUCUAGGUCAUUCUAGAUAGAAUUUUUGAUAGCGGAGUAGGUUUAAUUUUAUUUCUCCAAAUCAUCUAUUCACGUAUUCAAUAAACCUAUGUUGACUUUCCAAUUGUUUUACUUAUUUCAGGUUCUGAGGCUUCACGUUGAUGAUGUUAAUGCUGAGAAGGAAACGGCAAAGCCAUCGUCGAAACUAGCGACUGCCCAAAAAAGUCGGUGGACACCAAUACAAGUCGGGUUUGUUACAGGUGCAGUGGCUCUUACAACUAUUGGUGUUGUGGCUUACUUGAAACGCUCAAAUGUGUGAUAUCCUCUGAAAAGCAGGACAGAGUAAUCUUAGUGGGCAAUUAUGCAGCUAACUAUUGAAGCUCUCCUGAUCAUAUAGGAGAUAAAAUGCAGUUAAGUUAUUUCAAAAUCUCCAUUAGAGAGAGAGAGAGAGAGAGAGAGAGAGAGAGUUAAUAGUUUUAUGGGGAGGGUGAUUGAAAAUUUGAGGCAUUAUGGGUAUAAAAGUCAUAAAGGGAAUGGAUGAUACCAAUACGUCACAAAAACCAAUACAUUGCUUUUACCAAAAGGGUGAUACCAAUACGUCACAAAAACCAAUACAUUGCUUUUACCGAAUAGGAAAAAGCUUGUAUUUUAAUGCUAUAUGUCUCUGCUCUUUUCCUGCAUCUGUUACAUUAAUUUCUCUUCAUCUUGUUUGAAAUUUUGCUCGUCAUCGUAUUUGCAAAAAUAAUUGUAUGGAUCUACACCUGAAUAAGAUGACAAGCAUCAUCCACAGAAUGUGAAAGCUUUGGUGUGUUGUCCACAAUGUAAAGUAAUGCAAUUAUUGCGUGUUGUUAUUAAUCGAACUGAUCUUGGUGUGAACAGAUAGAUUCGUUGAAUUUCGGCGUUAUGUACGUGAUUGAACAUUUGGCAAAUUUGAUUUGUGUAUUUAUGUAGAUAUUAAAAGCUUGUUGUGGGCCCUGUUUCUUCACCAUCUAGGCUGGCUCAGAAAUUGUAGAGACCCUCUUUUGGGCCAAAGCCACGUGAAAUAACUUCUUUUACAAGAAAAAAAUUGCGUGCCUGUUCUCUUGUAUGAUCUUGAUGUGGCCUACAAAAUUUCAAUUCAUCUUUGAACAUCACUUACUUUUCAAAACUGAUUAUUACUUCACAAUGUUGAAGAUGCUUACAUUUAUUCUCUCUUUUUGGGCUCAGAGAACAUGCACUAGAAAUGAAGAAAACAGCCCCACAAUUUCUUUUUUUUUUUUUCUUUUGGUUAAGUUUUUGUGAGUCUUCGAUAAAGCCAAUAAUUGUAUUGUUCCACAUGCUCAUCGGCUCAUGUGAAUUUGAAGCCAUUUGAUGUUGAUGAUGAUGUUAUAUAACACCCGCCACAAACACCAAAAUGCUUCAUGCAGGCUAAGUAGCAUACAUAUCCAUUUGUUUUGAACAUAAAAAGUGAAGUCCCUUUUUCUCCAUUCCUCGUUGUCUUUUCCUAUGAAUUUGUGUAACCUUUUUUUUUUAUAUAUCUUGUCCUAUGAAAUUAUCACCUUGUGCUCCACCAAGCUAUUCUCUUUCUCUCUCUCUCUCUCUCUAUAAGUCACGGGCCUUCAUAUUUUUUUUGGUUAUUUGGGCUCUAUUUCUCAUAUAAAUCUCACUUGAUUUCUUGUAUAAAUGAUCAGUAUUAUGAUUUGUAUCCAAUACGAGGCUAAUAUUCUGAACAAUUAUUAUUACAAACUAUACAUUAUAUUAUCUUCCUAAUGUGCUAUUAUUAUCGAUCAUUCAUCUGUUUGAGGUUUAUCAAGGAAACAUGUUACAUGAGCUAUAUAUUCGCCAUUGACGAGUUUUAGCUAUAUUUAAACUGUUAAAGAGCUCAGAUCCAACCCACAAGAUUAAACUGAUAGGUUCAUCGCAUUAUAUGAAAGUUUAGACCUUAAGCCUCCGUUUGGUUCGGGGUUAAGGAAAAAGUAGCUAUUCCAGAGAUAAGAGUUAAGUUCAGGGUUAAAGUGGGGUUAAAAUUUUUUUGUGUUUGGUUGGGGGUUGGAGUUAGUCUAGAAUAAUAAAAAAUAGUGUUUGGUUGGAGUAGAUGGAAUAAGAAGAUAAUGAUUGAUAAAGAAGGAUAAUGAUUGGUUGGAGUAGAUAGGAUAAGAAAGAUAGUGAGUUAUUAUGAAUAGAAAAUAAUGUUUGGUUGGAGUUUGGUGGGGUUAGGUGGGGUUAGCUAAUUCGGGAUAAUUUAUUUGAGGUGUGGUUAGCUAACCCGGGGUUAAAGGAUUAUUCCACCCCUUAACCCCCAACCAAACAAGGGUUUAAUAUUCAAUGUGAAACUAAAAUUUGGAACCAAGUAAAAGAAUUUUUUAGAAUAUCAAACGCUCGGUAUGUGUCUUAGUGCCGGAGAUAUGCUCGCUUAGGCACACAAGGAUUUAUUUUUCUAGUUUUUUUUUUUUUUUUUUCUUUUCUGUUUUUGCUAUGGAGGCCUUUUCAGUUCAUCCUUCUAAUAAAUAAAGCGGUAGCAUGCUACCUUAUUCUAAACAAAAAAAAAAAAAUCACGGAUUUUAGUGUGUUUGGACAGCCGACGAAAUUACUUUUCUACCCUUGUAAUUUGGGAACAGAACACCACUACAAGCAUUAUUUCGACCUAAAAAGGCAUGUGAUUGUGAAUCUCUAAAACUUAUGGUUGGUUAUCUUUUGUUAGUUAAUUUCUCCUUUGGCUUCUCAAAAGAAUGAAAAGGUUGUUUAAAAAGAAUAGCAACAUGAGCAAUAUGUUCUUUAAAUUAUUUAUUCUAUAUAUUGUGACAAACACCACUUUAGUGAUAAAUAACAACAAAUUAGGGCUUACUUUUCCUUCUAUUUUUAAUGAAAAGUCAAAAUAAUGCACUUGGCAAAUAACAAAAAACUUAAAAGAUUUUAUUGCAGGAAAAGCUGUUGAAAAAAUUUUAAUAUAAUAUUAUAGUACUAUUUAGAUAAUACUUUGUCAUACUGCACCUCAGAGCACAUACAUUAUAUUUAAUCAUAUUUUGAACCUUUUUGCUAUGACAAUAAUAAAUAUCGCUUUGAUAAUAUUGAUUUCCUAUUGUAAGGCUGCGUAGAGGCUCAAAAAUAUGAUUAACACAAUUGUGUUAGCUUAAAUGAACCUACAUUCUACCUAUGGGGGGAGGUCAGAUUGGGCCUGAGUCAUAUUCAAAAUGAUGAGAGGUUGGGUUAAACCAAGUCAUGUUUUUUUUUUUUUUUUUUGAGAGAGAUAGGUAGCAUGUUACCCGCUUCGUUUAUAGCUAGAAAUGUGAAUCAAUUAGGAUUCGAAUUUGGGUCUCGAGUACCAACCACCAAGCCUUUUGCCACUUGCUCUAGGGACAGUCGGUUUAAACCAAGUCAUGUUGAAAAUGGAAUGAGGCUGAUUGGACCGAAUCAAAAUCGAAAUUCAUGGACGUUGUGCCUGUACACAAUGAAUUAAUUAUAUGUUUUUAAUAAUUUGAACUUUUGAGGUUAAUAGUUAGCGCCAACGAUCCAAAAGUUAGACACAACCAAAUUGCUCCUAAAAAUAUCCUCAUAACAAUUAUACAAAACAAGAGAGAGAGAGAGAGAGAGAGAGAGAGAGCCAAGUGGUGGGUCCAUUGAUGGAGCAAAUUUUCCUGAGGCUUGGCUUAGGAGCUACCCCUUCUAAAGCGACUGGUAGUAAUAGGCACAGGGAUAAGGAAAAGCGAUGCAACAACCACCACCACAUACAUAGUUGGAUGGAGAUACACACAACCUUUAUUGGAUGGAGAGAAUGAUUAAGUACUACUCUCCCUAUUACUGCUUUCCAUGCAAUGCUCCGCAAUCCUUUUUCUGUUAAUGUAAUGUGCCUGGCACAUGAUGAGUUUGGUGGUAUCAUGAGUGAGCUGGAUAUUAUUUUUAUCUUAUUGGCCUGUUUGCUUUCGCUUUUGCUUCUGCAUUUAAUGGUGCCAAUCUCAUCAAAGUGUUUGAUUUAAAGCUUAUGUUGCAUUUGAUAAUGAAAAUAAGAAUUUUGAGCCUCUAAAAUGGAACUUCAAAAUGAUACUUCUGAUUCUAUUGCAGAAAAAUCCUUAGGGCCAUAUUAAUAAAUCAAAACUUAUGUUUAAGAAGCUCAAAAUGUAGAUUAAUUUAUCUUGCUAUCAGAGUAAUUCAGCUGUAAAUUAACUUUCGGUACAUAAAACAUUUAGCAUAUCCUCUUUGAAGUGGAAAAGUCAUUUCAAAACGAGCGAAAGUAAACGUAAUUUUUCAACCCAAUCAUCUAAAUGUAAUUUUUCUUAUCCCUCGCAAUAUCUUGAUUUUGGUCUAAUUUCUAUUUAUUUCAAAAGUUAUAUUUAUUAUAAGAAUAUAAGUAAGAAUAAUUUGUUCUCGAAUCAAAUGGUGCCAAAGAAUAUGCAGAGUCUUCGAUACAAAUGAGUUGCAAGGCAAAAGAUAACUAUCAAAUUUAGGUGGCCUUUUUAUGUCAUCUUUAAGGUGAGGAUAGAUUUUGUGAUAGAUACUUAAGACAUUAAAUUUAUGGUUAAAAUGGCUGAGGAUUUCAAAUCUAAUAGUCACAUUUCUAAAUUAUCAUCAUUAAAAAAAAGGUACAAUGGGCCCUCCCAGCUUUUCUCAAGGGAUUAACUUUUCCAGGGGUUAAUCAUUCCUAUUUCUUUUCAUAUUUAUGAACCUUGUCUAGAUCUUGAAACACACACACACACACAAAAUUCAUAUUUUGCUAACCUUUCUCUUUAAAAAAUAUAUAUUUCUCUAAUUUUACUAAUUAUUAUAUAUUAUUAAUGUAAUUACAUUGAUUAAUGCAAACGAGGAAUCCAAAACAUUUUCCUUGUUGUUAAUUAAUGCUGAAAAAGUUCCUUUUUUUUAUUUUUUGUUAUUAAUUAUCUGAUUGUUACUGGUGACAAAAAUGAUAAAAUAUAUCCAUUUUUUUCAAAAAUUAACAAAAUGAGGUUUUUGAGAUUCUAAAAUCUAUACUACUUUGUGAAAAACUAUUGGAAAAAAAAAAUUGGUGGGUUUAUGAGCCACAAUUCACUGUGCAUUUCUGAAAAUUAAGAUAAUAUUUUAAGAAAAAUGAAAAUCAUUUUAGUCAACUCAAUAAAUAGGAGAGGCACAUCAGAGUCAAAAAUAUGUUGCCCUAGUGGGCCCCAAAACCACAGUACCUUUUCCUUCUUUCCCAGUAUCUGAAACCUUUCUCUUUUUUUUUUAAUUAUUAUUAUAAGCUACCUCUGUAAUCCCCAAUUUAAAAAAUUACUAAAAAGGUGACCAAUCUCUGUUAUACCAUGUACUUUUAAUUACUAAACUUACUAAACUUAAGCUAAUCUCUAUUUAUAUAUAAAUCAUUAAAGAAAAGGACAAACAAACAAAAAUAGAGAGAGAGAGAGAGAGAGCCUUUCUCUGUGCAAUCAGAGAAUGAAAUUAAAAAAAUUGGAAACAUUACUUGUUUUAUAUUAAAAAUUACUAAAAAAAAGGUAACCAAUCUUUGUUACCCCCUCUUUAAUACUAAAAGCUAAUCUCUAUUAAUCUAAACCAUAAAUAACAACACACACACACACACACACACACACACACACACACACACACAGCUUUUUUUUUUUUCCAUCGUAAUUUUUAGUUCUAAAAAUUUGGAGGAGAAGAAGAGAGAGGAGAGGAGGAAAAAAGAAAAAAAAAAAAGAGUAAGAAACCCAAUGGCGGGAAUAAGGUCAACUCCGUUUUGAAAUAAGCAAAGGAAAAAAUAAAAGAAUUUGAAAUGAGAAAUUUAAAGUUUUGAAGAGGCCAAAAAGGAAAAAAGCUACGAAGUGUUGGCCAAAGCAGUGCCUUUUUCUCCUUCGUAUGACACUCCACAUGCGUUCUCUUCUCCGGGGAGGUGAGAUAAAAAAAAAAAAAAAAAGAGAGAGGGAAAAAAGGGGAAAAAAAAGCACUUCUUUGUUUAUUUAGUGGUUGGUUUAAAAAUUUGAAUUUUGAAACAAAAAUUUGAAUUUAAAAUUGGGGAUCGCUCCACCGCCGAUCUUUAAAUCCGCGGACAUUCCUCACGAGUAUACUUUUUUGAGGUAUUAAUGCUCUCCUUUGACCGGGUUUUUCUUUUUUUUUUUAUUUUAAUUUGUAUAGAUAAAUGUUUUAAUUUUGGCUAGGGUUUUUUUUUUAUUUUUUCUUUUUGUAUUGUUCUUAGGAGUUCUCCUUCCUUGUGGAUUCUACUGUUUUGUGUCGGCAAGGUGGGAUUUUGGGAGCGGGAUUAGGUGUUCUUUAGGGUUCUUCGAAAUGGGUACUCGUCAAAAUUUGAUCUUUGUGAUGCUUUUUUAUGGGUUUGAAGUUUUUUUUUUUUUUAUAAUUUGGGGCGUUUUUGCUGUGAAUUGAUUUGAUGUUUUGGGGCAUUUGAUAGUGGUGAUCUGGGGGAGAAAUGCAGGGGAAAUUGGAAGGAAAUGGGAACUAGUUUUGUGAUCUAUUGCAUGAUUGAGAUUGUGUGGUGAAAUGCAGGGGGGAUUGGGAGGAAAUGGGAAUUAGGGUUGUGAUCUAUUAGAAGAUUGGGAUUGCGCCAUGGAUCGCCGGAGUUGGCUUUGGAGGCGCAAGUCGUCGGAGAAGAGUCCCGGAGAAAGCGAGAGCUCGGGAUCGGUGUCGUCGCACUCGGAGAGAUACUCUGAUGAUCAGGUUUGUGUACAUUGCAUUUUAGAGAUUUUAUUUUGUUACAAUGCUUUUGAAUCUAGCACUUGCAUGCAAAUUUAGUUAGCAUUUUAAGUUGUUUUAGGCUCAAUCUUAGAUUGAUAUGAGGAGAAUUUUGGUUUCUCUACAUCCAUUGCCUUACUUUUGAAACUAUCUACUUAUGCUGUUGACUAGAACUUCAUGUUUACGCCUUUUUCGCUUCUUCGUCUCACCAAUCCAUUUUUGCUCGCUUUGGAUCCCGCAAAAAAUGAAGCCGAGGUGCAAAAAUGUUAUCUUUGAUUGCGUCGGAGAUUAAGGGAAAUUUUCGAAGGAGCAGUGGAGAAUUUUUUUUUUUUUUUUUGAAUUUGUGGAUCAGGAUGUUUAAUACUAGAUGAGAAUACUGAAACAACAAAUAAUAAUAAUAAAAAGAUGAUAAACCAGAAACUUAAAAGUUACAGAUGAAGAUCUCAAAUUGUAUCAAGGUUAAAAAACUAAUAUGUAGCUACUCCAUCUUUUGUUUCUUGUCACUAGUAAACCACUUGGUUUAAGAUAAAGGGUGGUGAUGAUUAUUAUUUGACAAAUGAGAUACUUUUUUUUUUUCCCCUCGGGUUAGUAAUUCUAAUCACUCUUCAGAUGUUCUUGGUCUCCGAAGUAGUUAGAAAGGGCCUACAAACUUAAAUAUUUCUAUUUUUGUGAUGGUUUCCAUUUUCUACAAGUCUAUUGGUGAGCUACACUCCACAAGGACCAGCUUUUGUUGAACAUUUCCUAAUUUUUAUCCUACCGUCAUUAAGUAAAUGGUAUUUAAGCAUAUAUUGGACAAAUUUGAAAAAAAUAAAAAAUAAAAAUUCCACUAUAUUUCAUGCUGAGAUGAGCAUUUGCCCAUUUACUCAAGUUUGUGAUUCUGUAAUAGACGCAUCCAUGUGCUUUUGAACAAAGUUUCUUUAUAUAAUUUCUCUUUUGAAUUUUAUUUGUUCAUUUCAUCUGCUUCAAUUGUUAUUGGCAUGUAAGUUUUCUCCUUCCCAUCAUAUUCUUCAAUUGGUAUUUCUUCUUGCCAACAAAGUUAAUAAUUACUCGAAGCAGCUGAAAAAUUACAUGUGUGGUAACUUUUGUAUUGUAUACGAUCUUUGACCAUAAUUUUGUGGAUUCUAGUUACGCGACAUACCAUUAAAUAUCGAGAGGGAGAGAUAGUGAUAGAUUCUUUUAGAGAGAGAGAGAGAGAGGGAGAGAUCUUUCACUAUCAUUUUUUGGAUUAUAGUUACACAAGACACCAUUAAAAAUCGACAAGGAGAGGUAGUGAUGGAGUCUUUUAGAGAAAGAACGAGCAAGAGAGAGAUCUAUGACCAUAAUUUUCUGGGUUCUAGUUAGACAAUAUAACAUUACAUAUCGCGCGCGCGCGCGCGCGCGAGAGAGAGAGAGAGAGAGAGAGAGAGAGAGAUAACUACAAUGAAAAUAAAAAUGGGUAGACUAAAAAGACGUACUUAACAUUUUUCUACGUAAAGAUGCUCCCCCAAGCUUGAAAAGCAAAUGCUUUGAGACAAAGCUAACUUCAGCUGUUGCUUUGCUAAGUGUGCUAUUGGAAAACAGGAGGUGUUGAGGGUUCAGUCGGAUACUGCUUCCCCAAGUCACGCCCAGUCACAAGAGGUUACUUCGAACAAUGGAGAUAAUAAUGAUGUCCAAGAGACUGUGAAGACUUUGACCGAGAAGCUAUCUGCUGCUCUUUUGAGCAUCAGCGCAAAAGAGGAGCUGGUCAAGCAGCACGCAAAAGUCGCUGAAGAAGCUGUUUCAGGUAUUGCUUUUCCCAAUAUUAUUCUCAAUAUAAAACUAGAAGGUAAAACUAAUUUCCUUAUUCGUAGUUUUCCUUAUCCUUUUUCAUGUUGCAUGUACACGGAAAUUGAUGUGUAAUAAUAGUUCAUGCGAAUAUGUUUAGGAGAAGAUAUAUAUCAACCAUCAUACACUGAUUGUUUUUCGUUUAUGUGCAUUGUUGAAAAUGUAACACAAUUUUUGUAAUGAUCAUAUGUAAUUUAAUCUCACUGUAGCAAAGCAAUUUGCACUUGGAUGUUUGUCAUAGCUCCGCGUUGUGCUCAAGCAAGUAGCAACUACUUUUUUAGGUGGAUUAUAAAUCUCUCUCUCUCUCUCUCUCUCUCUCUCUCUCUCUCGCUAUGAAGAACCAGUUAUCAUUUUCUUAUUUGUUGACGAGAUUUAAGGAGCAUAUGUAGGGUGUCCAUCAUAAUUUUUCAGAUACAGUCGGUUACUUUUGAUCUGGUACAGAUUCAAGUUCAUGCACGGAAUAAAUUCAACAAAUGCUGCAACUUUUUUUUUUUUCCACCAUUAACCAAACUUCCGUAUCCUUGCAGGGUGGGAACAAGCUGAAACCGAACUAGCGUCUCUCAAGCAGCAGCUUGAAAUCGCUUUCCAGAAGAACUCUGCUCUCGAGGAUCGAAUCAACCACCUUGAUGGGGCCCUCAAGGAAUGCGUGCGGCAGCUCCGUCAAUCCCGAGAAGAGCAAGAAGAGAGAACCCAUGAUGCGAUAUCCAAAAGGGCUCGUGAGUGGGAAUCGAGCAAGUCCGAGCUCGAGAAUCAGAUUCUUGAUCUCAAGAAACAGCUGGAAACUGCUGCAUCAGAAGCUGCUCCUUCCCCCCUUCAGCUUAAUCUGCAAGAAAAGCUCGAAGUUAUCGAGAGAGAGAACACGGACCUCAAAGCUGAGCUUCUCGCUCAAGCCGAGGAUAUUAGGGUUCUAGCACUUGAAAGAGAGCUUAGCAACCGAGUUGCAGAAACGGCUAGCAAACAGCACCUGGAGAGCGUGAAAAAAGCGGCCAAGUUAGAAGCUGAAUGCAGGAGAUUGCGGGCUUUCUCGCGUAAAAAAGCACCAAUUAUUGACCACAGACCAAUUCCUCAAUCAGUUUGUGUGGAAUCUCUCACUGAUAGCUUAUCAGAUAUGGAUAAUGAACCGGAAUGCUCGGAUUCGUGGGCAUCGGCUUUAAUCGCAGAGCUUGAUCAGUUCAAAAAUGGAAAAGCUGGUUCUAGAAAUCUAAAAACUGCUUCUGUGGAGAUUGACCUAAUGGAUGAUUUUCUUGAGAUGGAGAGGCUUGUGGCUUUGCCCGAGGCUGAUCGCAGAAGCUCUAGCUUCGAGCUAGAAACUGAUUCUGAAAAAGCUCUUUUGAAGGACUGCUUUUCGAAGGUUGAAAUUGAAUCUCUGCGGGAUGAAUUAGUAGAGUUACAGGCAAAGGUCAAGAAGAUCGAAAGUGAGAAGAAAGAACUGGAAAUGGCUUUGGCUGAUUCUAAAAGCCAUUAUGAGAUCACACAUGAUAAGCUAAAACUAGCUGACGAUGAAUUGGUGCAGCUGCACAAGCAGUUAGAAUUGGCUUAUGAGCUGAAACUUGCAUCGGAAAACGAAGUAAUGAAUGUGGAGGCAAAGAGAAAGGAGUUGCAUUAUCAACUAGAAUCAGCAAAUGUGGAAGUUGGAAAACAACGUGAGAAGGUGAGAUUCUUAGAACAAGAUCUUAAGGCUGAGAGGGACCUUUCUGUGAAAUAUGCGACUAAGGUCGAGGCUCUGGAGUCCACUAAGAAUGCCUUAGAGAUUCAGCUUGAAACGGUUAACUCGGAAGUCGGAAGACUAAGAGAGUUGGUGGGUGUGUUAGAAGGCAAAAUCAAGGAAGAGAAGGGCUUAUCUGCAAAAUUCUCAAUUAAAAUAGAGGCUUCGGAGGCAGCGAGAAAGGCUUUAGAAUCUGAGGUCGAGUCCGCGCGUAAAGAAGUUCGGAAAUUAAAGGAAAAGGUGGCUUUUGUAGAAGCUGAAGCAGAGAAGGAGAGGGUUAUAUCUGCAAAAUAUGCAGCUGAGGUAGAAACAGCAAAUCUUGUACUCGGGAACCUUCGUGAAGAAAUCGGCUUGCUGGAAGAGCAGAUUGAAAAGGAAAAAGCAAUUUCUGAAGAAUUCGCAGCUAAGUGCGAGAAGUUGGAGGCUCAGCUUUCGAGGCACCACCGAGAAGCCGAGCUUCGCCUAAUUGCAAAUGCAAAUGGAGAACUGAAGAUGAAGCAGGUAAAAUGCUUAUUUUCCGGUCGCAAUAAUCUUAAUAGCUCAGGUCACCUUUUCCUUCUUUCUUUUUUUUUUUCAUAAUACUCUCUAUUAGUAUCAUGACUAGUUCGUGGCCGCUUCCAUUGCAUGGCAUAAGCUUCUGGACAAUGCUCCGUUUCUUUAUUGUGGACAAUGCUCCGUUUCUUUAUUGUGCUAAACGCCUGGCUUCUGCUUCUUAAAUAGAGAAGCUGUUUGGAAGUUGUUUCUGGCAAUUGCAGAAGCUUCGGACUUCAUAAUUUACCAAUCACUUUUUUUAGAGGUGACUGCUGCUAGAAGCAGAAGCUAGGCUGAACAUGCAACAAAUCUCUCAUUUUGAUGCUCUAUUUUUUUUUUUUUCUCUAUGGUGCAGGAGAAAGAGCUCGCGGUGGCUGCUGAAAAGCUGGCAGAUUGUCAGAAGACAAUAGCUUCUCUCGGCCAACAGCUCAAAUCCUUAACAGAUUUAGAUGAUAUCAUGCUCGAGGCGGAAAUACCUCAACUUAUCCAAAGCUUUGGAGAUCACGAAAAUGGCGAUGACGAUACACUACACUGUUACGAAAGUUCACGUAAUCUACAUGGAUUUACUCUCCCAAAUGGCAAAGAGAAGGGCUCUUUCCCCUUCUCUUCUAUCUCUUCGUCGGCCUCGGCCUCGGCCUCGACCGUUUCUGGGCUUUCGAGAUUGUUAUCGUAUAGUAGGAGCAAUAGUGCUAUAGAAAAAUAGUGAAGUAAUUAAUGAAUUGGUGUUAUAUUGGAAAUGUACAUUUAAAGGAAGUGCUUUUAUUGGAGAUUUGGUGGUUGUUAAUGGCUAACAUCAUGAGUCUUGUGUUAACUGUUGAAGCCCUGAACUUUUUUUAUUUAAUGAAGAAAAAGAUCCAGAGAGCUGGAUUUCAGUGUGCUUCUUGCAAAAUCAGUUUGUCCAUGGUGAAAUUGUUGAAUCAUUCAAAUAAUUUUAGUUUUUUGGACUCUCUCAUGAUGGUAUGAUUUGUUGUUCAUGGUGAAAUUGAUGUGAUUUCCCCAAUUUGUUUUUUGGACAAAUUUCUUUUUAAAAGCAUAACCUACUUGGAACCCGGAAGCUCUAAAUUAGAGCUUCUAUUUUGAAACCUUUAAAAUCAUAUUUCUGCCGCUCGUUAGGGUAAAAUUUUUAUUUUUUUUUUAGAAAAAAGUAAUAUGCUAUUCAUUUCGUUCAAUUUUUUUUAAAAUGAACUUAGUUGAAAAUGUGAAAUAAUUAGGCUUCGAAUUUAGAACCUUGAAUGCUAAUCACUAAAUCUUUUAUCACUUGUGUUAGAAUAAAAAUUUUAUUUUUAUAUCCCGUCAUAAAUAACUAACUAUAGUUGAAAAUUUAAGUGAAAGCAAUUUUGGGCCCCCAGGAAAUGGUGAAAAUUUAUUUUUCAGAAAAAAAAGAUGUUUUCAUAGGAAACAUCAUUUUUCAUAAUUUUUUAUUUUUCGGGUAAAAAUUUGGAAAAUGAAAAUGAGACCUUCCCAUAAAAUCCGAAUUUUUUUAAUAAAAAAACUACUAAUCCUUUUAUAAAAAUCAAACCGACGGAAAAUACUUUUCGGGUCAUAACACUAUUUUAAACCCCCCAAAAAUUACGGAAAAUUAUUUUCAGGAAAAAAAUUUGUCAUAAUUUUUUUUUUCAUGACUUUUUUCCUGAAUAAAAAACCCCAGAAAACUAAAAGAAGACUCUUUUUUUUUCAGAAUUUGACAAUAGAUUCUUUUUUUAAAAAAAAAAUUAUUAUUUCGGAUUUAACUAAACGAACCGAAUAUACUUUUGCAGAAAAAAUAAAAAACUAUUUUCUGAGGAGAGAGAGAGAGAGAGAGAGAGAGAGAGAGAGUAAAGGUGUCCAAAAUAUCCGAUAUCCCAUACCCGAUCCGGACCCUACCCAGACCCGAACCGGACCCGAACCGGACCCGAUAAAAAAUAAAUAGUAUACGGAUAAAAAAAAUUACCCAUUAAAAUUUCGAGUAUAGAUCCGGAUAUUUUAUACCCAUACCCGAUUUGGACCCGACCCGAACCUAACUUUUAAAUGGGUAGGGUCCGGAAUAGUUUUCAAAUCCGGACCCGGACCCGGACCCGCUGAAAUAUUCGAUAGUAAAUAAAAAAAAAUAAACUUUUGAAGUUGAAGGAUCAAUUUUAAUAUGACUUAUAGAUGAUGAGUCACUAUGUAUUUUCAUCCUAAUGAAACCCUAGCCGUCUCUUUUACUCAUUACUUUUUUCUAAUUUUUUUACUCUUUGUUUUCUACUCUUUUUUUUCAUUUCAUUUCCGCCAACAAUAUUUCAUUGUCAAUAAUAUAGUUUGUUUAUUGACUAUUUAAUAAAGUUUGUAAAAAAAUAUAUUUAUACGGAUAUCCGUACCCGAUUUAGACCCGAUCCAUAUCCGAUUUUGAACGGGUAGUAUACGGGUAGUCACUACCCAGACCCGCUCAAAUAGACCCGAUGGGUAUAUUAGAAACUUUAGUACUCAGACCCGGACCCGACCCGAAGUUAAAUGGGUAGGGUAUAUAUAUUUUUUUGUAACCAUUUCUUUUUAGGGUAUGGGUACAGUAUAUUAAUUACCCAGACCCGACCCGGUCCACGGACAUCUUUAAGAGAGAGGAGUAUAAAAGAAAAACAGGGGAGAGGAUAUCGGAGUGGUGGAUUCGGUCCAAAAUGGCUACAACGUUCUCCACCAACCACACCCUCUCCUUCGUCCGCUCUCGCCCCCUCCCCGUCCCGAAACCCCUCAAAACCCUAACCCUAACCCUAACCCUAACCCUCCCAAUCCCUCCAAACCCUAGCGCGAGGCACGCGAUUAAGCUCUUCUCCUCCGCCCAAUUCCCUCGCAGAUACUCCGCCGCCGUAAGAGUCGCCGAAACCGAUCCAAAGGUGGUUUUUUUUUUUCCCUCUCGUUUCGAUUCAUGUUUUUUAAUAAAAUUUGCUUAAAUUUUGCUUAGUUCACUAAUUUGUGAUUAGGAGCGUGUGUGGAGCAAUGCGCUUGAUUCAUCCAUUAAAAUUUAUUUGUCGAAGUACAAAUUUUUAUAUUUUUUAAAUUAAGCAGUGCCAUAAAAAGGGAAAUUUUGUUUGCUUCAUUGGUAAAAAUAUGUGGAACACUAAUUAGAUUAUACCCCAUUUGGGAAUAAAUAUUUGGAAGUUUUGAUUUAGAUAUCUGACCUUUUUCUUUCUUUUUUUUUUUUUUUUUGAAAUAUUGCUAGCUCUGAAUCAGAAUCAACACUGUUGAUAGCUUUCUCAUGAAAUAUUUCGUGUUCUGUUGUUUGUCGCUAUAUUUUAUAACUUACUUUUUGAUUAAACCGAUAAGUUUUGACCCAAUAUGAUGAUGCAGUGGUGUUGAAAUGAAAAACAAUUAAGUGUUAAAAUCGAAACUCUCAAUUAGGUACCAUUUCAAAAUGCGCCGCUGUUAACCUAUAAUUCAGGUAUGUUCUGACAUUUUUUUGGAUGGAUUAUUUGAGGAAUCAUGUUUUGUCAAAUGGAGUAUCGUAUGCGUCAAAGAGAGUGUAGCUUUUUGUACAAACUUAUGAAUCUAUGUAUCUAGUGGAACAAUGAUUGCUAAGCGUGUCCAGCUUUGUUCAGACGAUCGAUGGGGAUGAAGAGAACAGGACCUUAGAGAACAAAUCGGACGCCAAAGUAGAUCGAAAUGAUAUUCCUCCUAUGAAAAACCUCAUACAAUCCUACAAAAGAGCCCUUCUAGAUGGAGAUGAAAAGAUCCUUUAUGAAACGGAGGCACUAAUUUGUGCUGUGGAGAGUGAGACGAACGAUUUGUCCGCGAAAUUCACAAAUAUAACCUCCGAAAUAACUUCUGGGAAGGACGAGUUCCUUCGACUAAAGGCUGAUUUUGACAAUUUUCGGAAGCAAUUUGAGAAGUAUCGUCUUUCUUUUACAUCGGAUAUACAAGUAGAAGUAGUCGAGAGUUUGUUGCCUAUCGUCGAUAGUUUUGAGAAGGCCAAGCUGCAGAUAACACCAGAAACGGAGAAAGAGAAAAAGCUCGACACAAGUUAUCAAGGCAUAUACAAGCAACUUGUGGAAAUAUUGAGAAGCUUGGGUGUUGGUGUUGUGGAGACAGUUGGCAAGCCAUUCGAUCCUUUUGUAAGUUUAUUGCUUUUUAUAUUCUCUGAUCUUGUUAAAAAAGAAAUUCUUUCAUUUCAAGCUAAAUAUCUAUUUACCUUUUGAAUUUGUUGGUCACCUGUUCGAAUUUUCAUUUUGAAGCAUGUGAUUAGAAUUGUUUGCAUUGUUUAGAAAUAAAUUUAAUGAGCAUCCUUAAACAUGAUAAGCAAUAUCUAUUUCAGUGGCAGAUGUGAAACCAUAAAGUAAUAUUACCUAAUUGCUGUUGUUAUUUUGCUAAAUAUGGUUUAUGUUGAAUCCUUUAUUUUUCACCCGAGAAUCAAGCUCUACUGAUGUCAGUUUUGUUCUAUUUAACAGUAAACCUUCCCUAGGCAACAAAAUGUUAUUUGUAGUUCUCAUCGGUUUUCUCAUAAUUUACAUGUUUUCUUAUAAUUUAUAACAUCUUUGGACGCAUAUACUGAGGAAAGCAUGGAUAAAGCAAAUAAACCUUGUGUUAUGUAUUAAUAGUUCUUACUGCUACCUUUCCUCAAAAAAAAAAAGUUCUUACUGCUACCUGGUGCUCAGCUCGCAAAAAGUAUAAAUACUGUGAUAGCUAAGCCUCUAGCUAUCAUGUAGGAAUAGCUAACUUUUUUUUACUAGGGAUUUUCGCAUUGAGAGGACAACUUAAACUGCGAAUUAUCAAUACCAUGAGCGAAGUAUUAGAUGAGUGAAGAGAAAUGCAGGAACCGAGAGCAAAUGACCCCCUUUUUUUGGCCUUUACAUUGAACUACAUUAUAUACCCACCACAAUUCAGCUAUCAAGGAAAGAAGAAUUUUGAGAUACUUGAUAUUGAAGUAUAUACUGAUUAGAAGCUCAGGGUAAUAGAAUCUAAGCCAGUGGGUUGAUGUUAUGAACACCACUGCACUUAUCUGUGUGCAGCUUCUCCGUUGUAUUUAUAUUUUAUUUUAUUUUUUUGAUUUCUCAUUCUUGUUUUCUCCUCUGCAUCAUAAAGUUAUUGUUUCAGUAGUUUAUUUAUUCACUCUUAUAAAUUUUUAACACUUUGUCAUUUACUUUACUCUCCCUUUUAUUUUUUUUUGGGUGAUUGACGAAGAUUCACGAGGCGGUAGCAAGAGAGGAGUCCCAGCAGUUCAAGGCAGGUAUUGUUUCGCACGAGAUCCGGCGAGGGUUUGUUCUCAAGGAUCGGCUUCUCAGACCAGCCAAAGUGAAAGUUUCCACCGGCCUCGCGCAAGCAAAAUCCGAUUCGGUUUCUGAGAAAUCUGCAGAUCAGCCCGAAGCUGCAUCAGAUUCUGGCGGGAGUUCGUCCGCCGCACCCAACAGUUUCUAGUACUGCCUGCAAUUCUACAUUCUUCGGCAUUCCGUUUAAAGAUGAGUUUUUUCUUUUCUAGUCAAAAACCAAUUCGAAAGAUCUUACCAGGUUUUGUACAACCUAAUUGAGCUUUAUAAGAUAAAUUUCUCUCUUAAAAAAUUACCUUUAUUGAAAUGUUGUUUUUGUUGUUUAUGUACUGGACUUAUGAGAAGCUACCACACCAUACUAAGAUUAUUAUUAUUAUUAUUAUUAUUAUUAUUGUUUUGAGUUUGAUAACACAUAGGCCCAAAAUUCGCUCCUGUGCGAGGAGUGUGGCCUCGGGAUCAAAAUAGCCUACAGCGUAUUUGGAAUGGAGAGAGCCCACGGGUGCAUGAGGUGUACGGAUACACCGGGUGCACGCUACGUAACUUUGUCCCCCCGUGCACCGCUAUGCUAUAAACCGAUCCCAGUGUUCAAAAGUUAGCUCCGUUCCCUCCACCCUCCUUUUAAACCAACCACCUCAAGAAGAAAAGGAAAAAAAGAGAAAAAGAAAAACCCAAGAAACUAAACAAAAAUCCCAAACAACCCUCACAAGCAUGACCAUCUUGAUCCCAAGAACCACCACCACCACAACCAUCCUCUUCUUCUUCUUCUUCUUAUUCUUCUAUGGUGGUGGCGGGGAAGGCACCGGCGAAGGCGGCGGGGAGUGGCGGUUGCUGCACGAGAGCAUCGGCAUCUCAGCGAUGCACAUGCAGCUCCUCCCGGGGGACAAAGUGGUGAUGUUCGACCGCACCGACUUCGGCCCCUCCAACAUCUCCCUCCCCGACGGCCGCGUCGUCAUCCUCGGCGGCCGCCGCCAAUUCAACUACGAGUUCUUCCCCCGCGCGUCCGACCGCGAGCUCUACGAAUUCCCCUUCCUCGAGGAGACCCGCGACGCCGAUGACGAGAACAACCUCUACCCGUUCCUCCACCUCCUCCCCGACGGCGGCCUCUUCGUCUUCGCCAACAACCGCUCCGUCGUCUUCGACCCCUUCCUCCGCCGCCCGCCGCGCCGGCUCCCGGACCUGCCGGGAGGCGCGCCGCGGAACUACCCGAGCUCGGGCUCGUCGGCGCUGCUGCCGCUGCGCCCGGAGUCGCCGGCGCGCGGGGAGGUGCUGGUCUGCGGCGGCGCGCCGCGCGGGGCGUACGCGUGGGCGCGGCGCGGGGCGGCGUUCCUGCCCGCGGAGCGGACGUGCGGGCGCAUCGCGGCGACGGAGGCGGGGGCGGCGUGGAGCGUGGAGGCGAUGCCGGGGCCGCGGGUGAUGGGCGACAUGGUGCUGCUCCCCACGGGGGACGUGCUCGUCGUGAACGGCGCCGCCGCGGGGACGGCCGGGUGGGAGAGCGCGCGCGACCCGGUGCUGAGACCGGCGCUGUACCGGCCCGAGCGGGAGCUCGGGGCGAGGUUCGAGGAGAUGGCGCGGGCCGGGAGGGCGCGGCUCUACCACGCGGCGGCGACGCUCGACUCGUACGGGCGGGUGCUCGUGGGCGGGGGGAACCCGCACGCCGGGUACGUGUUCGACGGGGUCGAGUACCCCACGGAGCUCAGCCUCGAGGCGUUCCUGCCCCCCUACCUCCACCCGGGGCGCGACGGGGCGCGGCCGCGCGCGGCGGCGGUGGUAGCGCGCGGCGGCGGAGCGGCGGCGGCGGCGGCGGUGGGAGGGGUCGGGUACGGGGAGGUGGUGGGGGUGAGGUUUAGGGUUGGGGUUGGGGAUGGGGACGGAGGGGCGGAGAUGGAGGAGGGGGAGGAGGUGAGGGUGGUGGCGGUGGCGCCGGGGUUCGCGACGCACGCGGUGGGGAUGAACCAGAGGGUGGUGGGGAUGGGGGUGGGGAGGGUCGAGAGGAUCUCCCCGCCGGCGCCGGCGCCGGCGGAGUACGAGGCGUCUUCGGCGGCGCCGCCGUCGCCGGAGGUGGCGCCGCCCGGGUACUACCUCUGGUUCGUCGUCCACGCCGGGGUCCCCAGCGACCGAGGCGUCUGGGUCCGCAUCGGCUACCCCGGGGACCUCUCGUAACCCUAACCCUUCUCUCUCUCUCUCUCUCUCUCUCUCUCUCCUUGGUUCUUUUCUGGGGGGCGGCGAAUGAGAAUAUAGGGAGGUAGAGGGACUGGAAUGCAAAUUUUAUGUUACUUCUCGUUACUCUGGAUAUUAUGUUUCUGAAGAGUUUUCUAUCCGGGAGAUUUUUGAUCGACAAAUGUUGUUGUUUAGAUACUACUGUAUGAUUGGUUAUUGGUAACGUUUUUUUUUUUUUUUUUUUUUUUUUUUUUUUUUGGUGUGGAGACCCUACACUCGAAUGAGAAAUGACAAUUUUUCAUUUUGUAAUACUUGAACUUUUUUUGUCAUUUUCGUUUCGUAUUCGCGGGUGAUGAUAUUCCUGAUCUGGUCAAAUCACUAGUUCGUGAAUUACUAAUCACAUUCGAAAACACAAACAUGAGCCAUAAAGAUACUCAGAUCGCUCAUUGCUCGAGCUUAUUUUAGUUUUUUUUAAAAAAAAAUGAAAAAUGCCCAGCUUGCACUGGAAUCAUCAAUGCUAUAAAUAAACAAAGUGCAAGCCAAUCCCCACCCACCCAGCCAUAAAAGAAAAAAAAAUUAAAAAAAACCGUGGCUAUUUACAAAUAAAAGAGACUUAGGAAUAUGGCCAUUUUGAAUAAAAAUAAUCUUGAGACCAUUAAAGCAACUGAUGCACUACUACUUUGCGAUGUCACAGUAGAUGAGGAAGGAGAUGGUACGUUCCCAGCUUGAGGAGGAGCCUCGCACGUGCCAAAAGUGCCAUUUACCUGCUUCAUGAAAAGCACUUAACAUUGUCAUAAAUGGAUGGAAUUAACACAAAUUGCCCGGAUCACUCUCCUUCUCCCACUCUAAUAAUCACAUGCUUAUGUAAACCUUUAACUUUUUACAAAAGCAGAAGAUCUAGAUUAGAUCCAUUUACUUUCACGUCCCCGAAACUCAUUAAAUUUAUAAAAAUCUAGCUUUGGGUCAUAUUUUUUUUCCAAGCUAAAUGAAGUAUAUAGCUAGGUAAAAUGAGUAUUAUUACCUUACAAUUUACUAUGCUGUUGCAUCCACAAACCAGGUGCCCAUUAGCUAUAUCUGUAGCUUCUGGGGAACCACCUCCAUCACUUCUCUGCAAUCAACACCCAGAAAAGAAUUUAUACCAAACUAAAAAAAACAAAAACCAAAACAAAAGACUUAAAAGAAAACUAUGUUUAUUUACCAUUCAAUAGUUUACAUACUGUUUUACCUUGUAGAAAUCUACAGCUAUGAAGUUGGGCCAUCGGUUCGCCGACGCAUUAUGGCAGGUGUUCAGCAUGUCCACGAGGGGCGCCGAGUUGUGCUUGCAAGCGGUCGCGAAAUCCGGAGCGUCGGGGAAGUAGUUCAUCAGAACGAGCGAUCGAGACAUCGUGUUCAUAGCGGCCGACUCCGCUCGGUUAGGGCACUGCCCUGCUUGCAUCCCUCCAUUUCCAUCUGCAGUUGCAGUUUGAUCAGUAUGUAUGCACAAUGAUCAACAAAAUAUGGGCGAAUUUACUAACCUAAUCCCCCUUGGAUUGUCGCAAUUCGAUCCAUAACCUUUGCAUUCGGUUUCAACUUUCAAACAAGAUGCAAAGGUUUGAGGAUGAAACUGGAAAAUUGUAAAUGGUUUGAACGAAAUAUUCUUCUUCGUACAUUGAUUUUCAACGACGUAUCUCCACUCGUACGCGAUGCCCUCGGAAGCCUCUUUGGCGGAUUUUGAGGUGAACACGAGCAGGCGGUGGUUCUUGCUUAUCAUAUCACGAAGCAAAGGCCAAUCGCCUCCGUUCUUCGGCAUUGAGGAUACGGGGAACCAGUAUUUCAUGAGGCCCGAGGCAGUGAACACCUUGGUGAGACCCAUCGGGGACGUAACGUAGUCUUCGAUGAAUAUCGUGACGACUUCCGAAGGGUUUGCUUCGAGGAACGAUUGGAUCUCUUUGAGAACAUUGAUCGCGGGUUGCUGAAAAUGAUUAGAUGAUUCGUUCAUUUCGUUAUACUAGAGUGUUAAAAAUUGGGUGAAUUUUGCGAAAUAUGUUACAUCAGAAGCUUACGAAUGCCGUGAUGUUGUAGCAUUUGCCGCCAAAGGAGUGGCACAACCAGACAUCGUUUUCAAAAUCGUACAUGUCGAGCAUUAGUCCUCGCACUCCGUUCUGCGCUCAUCAAAUUAGUUAUAAUUAGAAAAAAAAAAUUUAUAUAUAUAUAUAUGCAGAAAGAAGAGGAAAAAUAGAGAAAAGAGAACAAUAUACGGUGACCUAUAUAAUUAACACACAAUUGCUCAAACAGUGAAAUUAUAUAUGCAGCAGCGGUGGAUUACAUGAUUCACACAAAGAGAAAGUCCAAUUUUACAUGCAUCAGCAACUCCAUGGUUCCNUAUAUAUAUAUAUAUAUAUAUAUAUAUAUAUAUAUAUAUAUAUAUAUAUAUAUAUAUAUAUAUAUAAAUUACAGCCAAUUUUAACAGUAAAAAGUUUCUCUUUUCAUUUUGUGUGUGAAAUCCACAACAAAGUGCACUGGAAAGUGAAGCAACAUUAGCAACUAGACUUAUUCCUCUUAAUUUCAUUUCCAAAAAUCUCACAACCCUUUUAGCACGUGCUAGAAUAUCUUGAAUAAGUACUAUAAUGAAUCAAAUUGGGAGUUCUUAUGCCAUCUCAUGUUAACUACUACAUCAAAUUGCGAGUGAUUUUCAAGUUGAAAAUAACUUUUAAUUCAACGGAAGUUCAAGUGAAUUUUUUUUUUCCCCAGUUCUGUUCAUUUGAUAGAAACUUAACGGCUUUGGAAUUGUAAUUAUUCUAUUUUUUUAUUUUACUAAACUUUGGAAUUGUAAUUAUUCUAUUUUUUAUUUUACUAAAAAUGUUUAACCUAGCACAUAUAAGAGGAUUAAAAAAACAUCAGUUAAUAUUUUAUUAUUAUCAUUUUUUAUUUUUCUUUCAUAAUUAAUUUCCAUGAAACAUGCAGCGCGAGAAAUCAAUUAAGAUAAUAUAAAAAAGUAAAGUUACAAGUAAAUUUAAUUUAGAACGAACUAAAUAAUAAAAGUGAGUAUUUUUAGGUGAAAAUAACUUUACCCUCUCAACUUUCCACAAAGAGUGUGUUUAUUUUUCCGAAAGCGGAGAGAGAUGAAAUAGUUUUCGACCAUAAAUGCCCACUCUUCAAAAUAUCAUAAUCGACUUCGACCUAUUCUAUACCGCAUGAACUUUUACGUUAUAUAUUUUCUAUAAAAUAAACAGCAAAAUUGAAAUAAAGGAACUCUCAUUCCACGGCUAUACAUACAAAUAGCCAAAUAAUAAUAAUAAUAAUAAUAAUAAUGAAUAAAAAAAGCAGUGGGAUUACGUACGUACGUUGAGCUGAUCGGUGAUGGAGUCCUGUUGAUUGGUGGGGGCGAGAAUGAUGGAGCCGGUUUGGGACCUCACCCCGAGCCUCGCGAACGAGUUGUGCGUCGUCAGCCACGCGUACCUGUUGAACGCCAACCCCGUCCCCUGCAACGCGAGGAAUUCUACACUGUCACACUUGCACCACAUCAUCAAUAACAAGUCAAUUACAUUUUUUUUUUUCAAACAAAAGUAUAAUAAAAAUAUUUUUUUAUAACCAUGAUGGAACAUAUAUUAUUAAAAGAAUUAAUUUGAUUUGCUUGUUACACCACGUCACUAAUAUACCCGUUGCAUUUUAGAAUUUUUCCUGCAACGCACCACGCAGAUCAUAUCAUCAUCAUAUAUCCAUCCCCACAUUAAUUACUGCACCAUAAUAACAUCCCAAACUUUGAAAAAAAUUUAAAAUGCACCAAUCAUGUUAUUGACGCGACGUAUUUAAUUAAUAAAAUUAUUCUUUUUUAAUUUUCACUAGUCCCAUCAUGACUAAUAAAAAAAUAUAACUGACUCAUUACUGAUGGGAUGGUAUGAAUAUGACACCGUAGACUUUCUUCCUAACCAAUAAUACCGCCACGACCCAUCACCAAGUAAUACUUUUAUUUUUAUUUAAAAAUUAUAAUUUUUAUUUUAAAAUUUUAAAUAUUUUUAAAAUUUUGGUAUUAUAUUAAAAAAUUUAACAAAAUAUUAUAUAAAAAAUAAAAUUAAUACGUGACGACAGAUGUUGAACCCCCCCCUCCCCCGCCAAAAAAAAAAAAAAAAAAAAAAAAAAAAAAAUCCCCCUUCUAACUAGCAAGUUGAAAGUUGACGAAGAACACCCUCAACUCUCCACAGCUUUAUCCAUCUUUUUUUAACUUACAUUUUAUAUUGAGAUAUUUUAUUAAUAACAAAUAAAUUGACUUUUUAUUAAAUUAAAAAAUAAAAAAAUAAUUUAAUUUAUUUAUUAGCGAUUCCAUCAAAUUUAAUAAACUUGAAUAAUCUAAAUAAAAAAAUAAAAAUUGAGAAACUGUUCAUUAAAAAAUAUAAAAAUCAGGAGUUUAUUUUUAAAUUGGCUAUAGCUAGAAUGUCCUAGCAUAUUUUUUAGCUUCCCCCUUUCACAGGACACUUCCUCAACUUCUAUUUUUUUAAAAAAAUUCAAAUUAUCAAGUAACUUAAUUCAAUUUUUUUGUUUCAAAUUAUUUCUAAAAAUAAAUUAAGUUUACUAAAUUCAAUAAAACUAUCAAAUAAAUCAAUAAAAUUUUCAAUUAGACUGACUAUAAUUAUCCAAUAAAAAAUUAAAAGCUGAAAAAAAAUUAUUUAAAAAAUAAUUAAAGUUGAGAUGGCCUUUUCAAAACGGCUUAUAUAUGUAGUUUGAUUGGUCACCAUACACUUUAAAAAAGACAAACUAAAAUAAAAUAAAGAAUAAAAUAAGAUAAGACAUAAAAUCAAUCUCUGACCGUUGAUUUCGGAUCGGACGGUUUGAUCCGGGUGCAUCUGGGCCGCACGUUCCCAUCCGCUAUACACGUCUCGCAGUGCAACCCCGCGUCGCAGUUCCGAUCCGCCACGCACGUCGCCCCGAGCUACGCAGUUCAAACGUGAACAACAACGACGAUUCCUCGAAUAAGAUCACAAUUUAUGCGAAUAAGUAGCGGAAUAAGGCGAAUAACAACUCACCUGCGAAGCAAAAGCGAUUGGAACAGCGAUUCCGAAGAGGAAUGAGAUCAGUAGCAGCAGCAACAGAGGCUUCGAUCGACGACUCUGCGUUGCGGAAUGAGUGAGAUGGGGAUAAGAAUUAGGGUUUAUGGGAGAAGGGGAAGGGGUGGGGAUUGGGGAUGAGAAUUAGUACCUGCAUCGUCGCUAGGGUUUCGAAUGGAUUGGGGGUUUUUCGAGAGGGGAUUGGGGGAUAAGAUUACGUGGAAAUGGGGAAUAAAGUGGGGAUUGAGAGGUUUAUUCCUGGGAAUAGUGUGUGGGAGUGUUGUGUUUUGCAAUAAUGGAGGUGGUUGGGUGUACGGCAACGAAGGUAUUGGUGCGAUCAAAAUGGCGUGAUGGGUACGGCUGUGAUCGAUCGGCAAUUGCCGUGGAUAAGGCGUGACGAAAAUGAACUAGUUUAAUAUUGGAAAAACUUUUCAUUUUAGCAUACCAAAGUGUAUUAAUUUAGUAUUUUAUAUAUAUAUAUAUAUAUAUAUAUAUAUAUUUUCUUAUCAUCUAUUUUACUAUUUUUUUUAUUAAAUUAAUAAUAAAGUAAAAACUAAAAAAUAUUAAAGUGAAUAUUCGAUAAAUCUAGACGGAAUAUGUGAAGUUUUUUUGUAUAUAUUUUAACGAAAUAUUAACAAAGAAGCGGACGAAAAGAGAAAAAUAAAAUUAUAGAGUACUAACUUGAUAUACUUUAAACCAUAAAAUAGUAAAGUGAAAAAGUGCGAAACCACAUGGAUGGUAUUUAAAGUUUACUCUUUAAUAUUUUGUUUGGUUGUUCCUUAAUAAGGGAAAAAAAAAGCUAAG
rnacentral:lncRNA from 1 species